GACGAACGCUGGCGGCGCGCCUAACACAUGCAAGUCGAGCGGAGUAAAGAUUUCGGUUUUUACUUAGCGGCGGACGGGUGAGUAACGCGUGAGUAACCUGCCCUUCAGCGGGGGAUAGCGUCUGGAAACGGACGGUAAUACCGCAUAACGUAUCGAGAAGACAUCUUCAUGAUACCAAAGGAUUUAUUCACUGAAGGAUGGACUCGCGUCCGAUUAGGUAGUUGGUGAGGUAACGGCCCACCAAGCCCACGAUCGGUAGCCGGACUGAGAGGUUGAUCGGCCACAUUGGGACUGAGACACGGCCCAGACUCCUACGGGAGGCAGCAGUGGGGGAUAUUGCACAAUGGAGGAAACUCUGAUGCAGCGACGCCGCGUGAGGGAAGAAGGUCUUCGGAUUGUAAACCUCUGUCUUUGGGGACGAAUAAUGACGGUACCCAAAGAGGAAGCCACGGCUAACUACGUGCCUGCAGCCGCGGUAAUACGUAGGUGGCGAGCGUUGUCCGGAUUUACUGGGUGUAAAGGGUGCGCAGGCGGGAUGGCAAGUUGGGUGUGAAAUCUCCGUGCUUAACACGGAGCCUGCACUCAAAACUGCUGUUCUUGAGUGAGGUAGAGGUAGGCGGAAUUCCCGGUGUAGCGGUGAAAUGCGUAGAGAUCGGGAGGAACACCAGUGGCGAAGGCGGCCUACUGGGCCUUUACUGACGCUGAUGCACGAAAGC
rnacentral:rRNA from 1 species